CCGACAUAUCAGCAAGUCCAAUCAAGGCGCUCAGCUUAUGUUCCUGCUGAUGGUGAAGGAAAGUUGCGUUAUUAGCUGGUGGGGAUGUAUUGGCGAUACUUCUGUUUGCUGCAAUUGGAAGAUUUAGCCAUGAUUUCCUGUUUUCGAAGCUGAAACGUUGCGUAUUGGUCACCCAUUCAUCGCGGGAUGAUUUCUUAGUGCAUACUUCUUUGGAGGAUAUAGUGAGGAUGGUCAAGGGAUGAAUGGUUCGAAUAAGGCAGUAGCUGCUGCGGCUAAAUCUUGGGCCUUGGGUAUACCGGU